rnacentral:miRNA from 1 species
AUCUUUGGGCUAGGUUAGUU